rnacentral:rRNA from 1 species
AACGAACGCUGGCGGCAUGCCUAACACAUGCAAGUCGAACGAGAUCUUCGGGUCUAGUGGCGCACGGGUGCGUAACGCGUGGGAAUCUGCCCUUUGGUUCGGAAUAACAGUUGGAAACGACUGCUAAUACCGGAUGAUGACGAAAGUCCAAAGAUUUAUCGCCAGAGGAUGAGCCCGCGUAGGAUUAGCUAGUUGGUGUGGUAAAGGCGCACCAAGGCGACGAUCCUUAGCUGGUCUGAGAGGAUGAUCAGCCACACUGGGACUGAGACACGGCCCAGACUCCUACGGGAGGCAGCAGUGGGGAAUAUUGGACAAUGGGCGAAAGCCUGAUCCAGCAAUGCCGCGUGAGUGAUGAAGGCCUUAGGGUUGUAAAGCUCUUUUACCCGGGAUGAUAAUGACAGUACCGGGAGAAUAAGCUCCGGCUAACUCCGUGCCAGCAGCCGCCUAA